rnacentral:rRNA from 1 species
GAUGAACGCUGGCGGCGUGCCUAAUACAUGCAAGUCGAGCGAACAGACGAGGAGCUUGCUCCUCUGACGUUAGCGGCGGACGGGUGAGUAACACGUGGAUAACCUACUUAUAAGACUGGGAUAAUUUCGGGAAACCGGAGCUAAUACCGGAUAAUAUAUUGAACCGCAUGGUUCAAUAGUGAAUGACGGUUUUGCUGUCACUUUUAGAUGGAUCCGCGCCGCAUUAGCUAGUUGGUAAGGUAACGGCUUACCAAGGCAACGAUGCGUAGCCGACCUGAGAGGGUGAUCGGCCACACUGGAACUGAGACACGGUCCAGACUCCUACGGGAGGCAGCAGUAGGGAAUCUUCCGCAAUGGGCGAAAGCUUGACGGAGCAACGCCGCGUGAGUGAUGAAGGUCUUCGGAUCGUAAAGCUCUGUUAUUAGGGAAGAACAAAUGUGUAAGUAACUAUGCACGUCUUGACGGUACCUAAUCAGAAAGCCACGGCUAACUACGUG